UACAGAGGUCCCAAGCGUUGUUCGGAUUCACUGGGUUUAAAGGGUGCGUAGGUGGGCAGGUAAGUCAGUGGUGAAAUCUCCGAGCUUAACUCGGAAACUGCCGUUGAUACUAUUUGUCUUGAAUAUUGUGGAGGUAAGCGGAAUAUGUCAUGUAGCGGUGAAAUGCUUAGAUAUGACAUAGAACACCAAUUGCGAAGGCAGCUUACUACACAACGAUUGACGCUGAGGCACGAAAGCGUGGGGAUCAAACAGG
rnacentral:rRNA from 1 species